AUUUCUCAUCCUCAGUCUCGUCUGCAUGCUUGUCAUCCCCACGCUCCUCCUGCAUCCUGCCCAAACAGCAGCCAUGAGAUGUACUCCGGAGAGGGUGUGUGCACUACAGGUGGAAAGCUGGGUGUGCGGACAUCCUGUGACUGCAAGAGUGACCAGCCUGCCUACCAGUGAUCUGCAUCCCAAGGGAACAUUGCCGGCACGUUUCACGUUAAUAAUCUAGCGACAGUAGAGAUGGUGAUGAAUGGACCAGACACUCAUAGACAGUAAGGAGUCCUAAUUACCACAGCCUGGCAUCACUGCCUGUGACGGACAG